AGCAGUCAGCAUCCAGUGUUUUGAACAGCGAGUGGCGUAGAGAAAGGUGUCGAGACUUUUCCUCACUUUUCGUGGUAAUGAUUGUUGACUAAAAUACCAUGAGUUGGUUUGGCUCGGCCUCGGAGUGGAAGCAGGGCCUGAGUACCUCGGCACUCAGUAAAGUUGAGGAGCUAGAGAACCAGGUUGAACGACUGAAACGUGAGAGGAUACAAAAACAGAAUCAGCUAGAUUCUCUCCAGCAAACUUUAGACAACCAGAAAAGAAAGACUGAUGAUGGUGUGAAGGAGAAGCAAACAUUGCUGAAAGAGAUAGAACAGUUAUCGCGAAGCUGUGAGCAACUGCAGCUUCAGUUGCAAAAGGGUCAACAUGAUCACAUCACAUCUAGCAUUAGCCUCAUGCCCCUCCGCAAGACUACAGCCGUCGAGUCGUUGUCGUCGUCGUCGUCGUCGUUGUCGUCGUCGUGCUCAGGGGAGGAAAUGGAAAGCUUGCGGAAAAAAGUGGAGGAGCUGACGCAGGAGAAUAAAAGUUUACAUUCAAAGUUGUCUGACCAGAUGUUACAGUCUCAGAGCUUAGAUGGCCGAGUCUCUUCAUCAAGUUCUUCUUCAAUGGGAGAUGACGACAGGGAUUUCUGGGGAAGUUUUGAGAAAAUCAAUACAAGAAAUCAGCGCACACCGUGUAAAACUCCACGAAAGGCUAUAGAAACAAGUGAUGAGAACCCAUUUAAAACCCCUUUUGAAGGAUUACACUCUAAAGCAGGUGUUGCAGUGAACGAGGGGAAUCUCUUCACAGCUCCCACCCACCACCACUCUCACUCAUCUCUGCCUAGUGCUCCUCCGGCUCUAGCAAGUAAUGAUCACUAUACAAAGCAGUUGGAGAAAAUUAUUGAACAGUAUAAAAAGGAGAUAGAUGGACUCAAGUCGUCUAACUCGGCUCUGCCCGACAUCAGUAAACUACAAGAGGAGAUAACAUCUCAAGAAAAGACUAUUAAAGCGGCAAAUGAACAAUUAGCUACUUUCAAAUCCAAUUGUGAAGAAGCAACUGGAAAGUUGGAGAAAACGGAGCAGCGUCUACGAGCUGUGCAGAGUGAAUUAGACUGUCAGAGACACAACAGUGAAGCUGCACGCAAGAACCUGGAGGAGAAGUGGAAAGAGAGGGAGAGAGAACUCACUGGUGACAUGACCAGAGCACAGAAUGACAUGGCGGCCUUGGAACGUCGCGUAAGUGAACUCCAGACAAAACUCCAGCAACAGGAGACCUUGACCCGCAACACACAAAACUCCCUCCAGGCAUCUUUGGACAAAGCUCUGGCUCAGACUGCAUCAGUGGAGAAGGAUUGCAAGGUAGCCGAGAGUCGGAGCGGUCAGCUAGAGGCAGAGAUUGCCCGGUUAGAGAAGACAGCUGAAGAUUCGACCAAAACUCUUACUAUGUUGCGCCAAGAGAAGGAGAUGGCAGCUGCUCAGGUCUCAGGAUUGAAGGUGAAACUUUCUGCAGCAGAAUCUUCGAUAGACAAGCUGACAACGCGCUUAGAGUUGGCCGAGCAAGUGGCAGACAGCAGGAAGGUUUCACUUGAACAGAUGCAGGCAGAUAAGGACAAAGCUGUUAAAGAUGCUGAAAAUGUUGUAAACAAGUUAUCUCAAGAGAUGGGCCAACUUGAAGAUGAGCUGAAAGCCACAGUAGGGCAGAGAGACGAGGCAACGACAGCUCUCAACACAACCAAAGAACAAUGUGAAAGGAAGUUAGCAGGAAUGAAUGCAAUGGAAGCGGAGUUGUCAGAAGCGCGAGCCCAGGUUGCCAGUGUAUCUGCUGAGAUGGAGAGUGUUAAGGCUAAUGCUGCAUCAGUAGUAGAGUCCACCAAGGCAGAAGCUGCUAUGGAGAUACUUAAAGUCAAAGAAGAAACUGAAAAACAAGUGAGUGAAGCAGAGAGACGAGCCAAGGUUGCAGAGGAGGAGAAGUUGGAGGUGCAGAAUAAGGAGGAUAUUGCCCGCGGUGAGAGACUGGCAGCCGAGGUGUCAAAGUGGGAGCUGGAGGGAAUGGUAGACACACUCAGGGCAGAUAUUGCCCGCCACACUGCAACUAUUACUUCACUGAGAGCAGAGAUUGAAGUGGCGACGAAAGGAAAAGUUGAAGCAGAGGAACGUUUUGAAGAACAGAUAAGAGAGAAGGAAGGAAAAAUUGAUGUGUUAACAUCUUCAGUGGAAGAGAAGGAGAAGAGAAUGAGUGAGCUUGAGAAGACGUGCGAGGAGGUGGAGGUGAAGCUUGAGACACUGACAAGAGACAGAGAAGAAGGAGAGUCUCAGGUGAAGGAGCUGCAACAGCAGCAUGCUGAGAGUAUUGCAGCUCUUGCCAAGACUGUAGAGGAAAAGGAGCGAGCUUUAAUGGAGAGUAACGGCCAAGUGAACACCUUAACACUCAGAGUUGCUGCUCUACAGAGAGAGAAAAUGGAAGUCGUUGAUGAACUAGAUAAAGUGAAAGAAGAGAGGGAAGAAAAGUUGAAUGAUCUGCAGGUGGCACUUGUAAACGCCAUGACUGACUUGGAGACGCUGGUGGAUAAUAAGCACGCUCUGGAACUCAAGUGUCAAAAUAAUAAAGAAGAAUUUCUACAACUGUUAGCACAGAAAGAAAAGAUGGAAGUCAAAUAUUCAGAGGAACAAAAGCAGCAUGCAGAAAAGAUUAUAAAUUUGCAACAGAUUUUGGAAACAAAUGCAGGUUCUUUGGAAAAAAGUAAGAAGGAAAUAGAAAAUUUAAAGUUCCAACUUGAAAAUCAAAAGAUCGAAAAUAGUCAGUUAGCUGAACAUUAUAGUAGAAUAAAAAGUGAUAAUGAAGAGAAAUUGUCUAUUGUUCAAGCUGCUCUGGAAGUUGCAGAAAAUCAUGUUGGUAAUAUGAAGCAGCAAGUCCAGACCCUUAAUGCUCAGGCCAACGAGUUGAGUGUCACGUUUGAGAAGAAGGCCGAGGGACUCGUGCAGGAGAACUCGGACAUGCAGCUGGAGUUGGCAGAGCUGAAGUCAACUCUACAAGACCUCAGCAAUGAGCAUGAGGAUAAGUCAAACAAGUUAAUGGAAGCUGAGCAAGAGAUAACUCUGCUUCAAGCUAGUAUAGAGGAGAAAUCCUCAGCAUUUAAAGAGGCUGCAUCAGCUUUAAUAGAAAAGGAGAAUUUAGUUAAAGAAAAAGAGAUGGAGAUAACAAAUAUCAUUGCUAGAGAGAAGCAGCUGGAGAAAUUAGUCGACGAAGCGACUAAUAACUUGAGGGAAUCCAGAGGCGAGUGUGAAAUGUUGACAUCUUCCCUCAAGGAAACUGAAGAACAGUUGAGCCAAAGUAAGAAUAAUUCUCAACAGUUGAAUGAUGAAUUAGAUAAACUAAGAAAUAAGCUAGAAGCUACUGAUGAUGAAAUUCUUGCUCUGAGAGAAGAUAUAACCAAAAAAUCUCAAAAAUUAAGUGAACUAGAAGUUAAUGCAUUGUGUGCCAAAGAGGCUGUUGUCCGAACUGAAAAUCUGGAAGAAGAGUUAAAAACGUGGCACGAGAAACACCGGGAAGCUGUUGCUCAGUAUGCAGCUGCCGCGGCAGCGCUAACAACCAAAGAAGAAGAAUGUACGCAGCUUCAGGCAUCUAUAGUAGAGCUGGAAAAUAAUAAGAAUGCAAUUAUACAGUGUCUUCAAGAUAAGCAAUCACUUCUAAAUGAAGAAAAGAAAACUUUGCUGGAAAAGCUACACGAGGAGGAGGAGAAAGGUGCAAAUGCAUCUAAAACUACCUUAGAAGUUCAAAUGAAGUUGGAUGAGAAAUUAUCCCAACUGACUGAAUUGCAGGAGGCGUUAAGUGAACACCAGUCAACAGUUUGCAGAUUGAAGGAAGCAUUGUCGAGCCUUGAAGCCGAGAAGCAUCAAUGGCAAGAAGAACAGUGUUCGCUGAGAUCGGCUGUAGUUAACAUAGAACAAGCCAAGAACAAUCUUGAAUCUGAAAUUGAGAAUUUGUAUAAUGAUGCAAAUUUGAGAGAUGAACUGGAGAGUUUACAGGAAGUUAAUGCAACGCUGAAUAGCAGGGUCGAGGAAAUGGUUGUAACAAAUGAGCAGCUACGGUCAUCUCUGACGGAGACGAGCGAGGAACUGAAACAACAGAGAACAUCACAUAAAAUGGUGCAGGAUCAGCUGGAGCAACACACCAUGCACACUAAUGAAGUUAUUGGUAGUCUCACUGAGAAGUUGGCCACUAGCCAGAAGGAUAUUCAGUUGAAAGAAAGUGAAUGGCAAGAUCUUACUAAGCAGCAAGCAGUAUUGAGUCAAGAAUGCGAAGAAGCUAAGUGUGAGGUAGUGAAGAUGAAGGAACAGCUGGACACAGCCAUGAGAACAUUACAGACGGCCAAGAGUAGAAUGAUUGACAGCGACGUGUACGACGAGGUCUGUAAGGAGAAGGAGGACUUGAGGGAACGCAUUAAUGGCCUCCAUGAAGAAUACAUUAUGAUGACAAAUAAAUAUCAAAAAGAAUGUGAGAAAGUCGAGAGCUUGCAGAAGGACUUUGAUAAUUAUCGUGAUGCAAUACGGAUGAUGGGACACCAACAGGAUAACAGCAGAGACAACGAAGUGGCUGAGAUUCAAAAGGAGAAUGCUGAUCUCGUUGUCCGCUUGGAAAAAGUUGAAAGAAGUAAUGGAGAGCUGCAUCACACAGUGCGUAGUCUGAGAAGGAAGGAAGCGGAGUUGGCACUUGAACUGCAGGCAGCAAGGGGAGCUUCUGUUACAACCCCUUCCACUUCACAGGCUGAAUCACUUGAGGCAGCAAUGGUCAUUUCUCUCACAGUGACUCCCUCCACCUCACAGACCGAGUCGGACAGCACUACUGCCGAUUAUUUUGAAACCACGUGUAUGCAGGUGACCGAGGCCGAGUCUACUGUUGCCUCGCCACAACGUCGCGCUAUAGUUACGGCCGAAGAAUCGGAGACACUUCAAAUGAACUAUGAGACAAUGGACCCGGAAAUGUGUGACCAACUGAGUAGUGGUGUUGCUGAUGAACUGGUUGUUUGUGCCCUUAAGAAACAGCUUGGAGUCCUCAAGUGUCAAGCUGCUGCCAAGGAUUUGCUUCUUGAAGAAAUGAAAGAAAAUAUGCAAACUUUAAAACAAGAAAUUGAACAUCUGGCUAAUCACAAUCAUAGUCUUGUUGCCCAACUUGAGCAACACAUUGUUAACACCUCGACGAAGUCCACUGAUGAAGAGCAGAAAAUGUGUGUAGAGCAGCUGGGGAGCAUGCCACCUCUGAAGCAGCAGCCUGGAAGUGAAGCCGAGGACACUAAAGAGAAAUUAAACCAGGCCUUGUACGACCUUCGCAAGACCCAAGAGCAGAAUAAGCUGAACGGGGCUAUGGCUCAAGAGCUUGAAGACAAGGUGAACUCCCUUGAAGCAGAGCUGAAGGUUGCUUUACAGAAGAGAGAGCAACUUCAAGAGGAGAAUGUUAAGUUGCGGUCAUCUUUGAACGCUCAACAAGAAGAUGGCUGGUCAGACACACAGACAGAAUCAUCUUCAGCUGUUCUAACAAGAUUACAAGAGGAGAGGAAUGAUCUUCAAGAAAAGUACAACAGAUUGCAGGAAGAACUUGACAAGAUGUUAGAGAAACAUGAAAAUUAUAAUGUGGAGUUUGAGGAACACAACAAUAAAUCUGACGAGUUGGCCUUCUUGAAUGAAGAACUCAGUUCCAAAAAUGAUGAAUUAGCCUCCAAGAAUGACCUGCUUAUUACCAAGAAUGAGGAGCUCACAGUGAUGAUUGACGAAAUGAAGAACGAAGUAAGCGAACUUAUGUGCCAGAACAAUGUACUUAAAUCCAACACGGAAACUCUAUAUAAAAAGGAAGAAGAGCUCAUGACUGAAAAUGAGAACCUUACGGCUGUGAAGAGCGAGCUGGACGCCCAGAUCCAGGCCAUAUCGCAGAGACUGGAGGAAGUGAUGUCGGGAAAUCGAGAACUCGUUGCCACGAACACGGAUGUGGUUCUGCAGAAUGAGCAACUUCUAGCACAGAAUCAAAGUUUGCAGGCUGCACUUGAGAAGAACGCUUUGAAUAUAGAGGAGCUUGUAAAGUUGAAGGAGAGUGUGAAUAGUCUGAGGGAUGAGAAAAAUGUUUUAGAGAAAAAAUUGAAUGAUCUUGAUGAUUCUGUUUUGAUAAACACGCACUCUCAGAAUGCACUGCAAAAUGAGAAAAAGGAGCUUAUGGAUAAGGUUAAGGAGCUAGAGGAUAAGGUUAAUCAAAGUCAGAACAAAUGUAUUGAGCUUACAAAUCAAAUUGAAGUAUUGAAAGCUGAAAAGGAAAAAUUAAUUUCUGAUUCUGAUAUUAUAUCUACUGAGAAGAAAGAAGUUUUAGCCGCUUCUCAGGAACUAACUCUAAAGUACACCACCAUUGUUGCUGAAAGAGAUCACAUGUUAAAGGAAAACAUGAAAUUAUCCUCAGAAAAAGAGAAGCUGCAAUUGGAAAAGAAAGACAUCAUGAGCUACAAGGAAGAAUUACUUUCUGAGAAAGAAAAAUUGCAAUCCAAGCUUGAGCAUGUGGAGAAGGAAAAAGAUGAACUGCUUUUGGUAAAGGAGUCACUCGAGAAGCAACAAGAUCAGCUGAAGCUUGAGAGUGACUUGAUUGCCAAAGACAAAAUUGAAUUAGAGGCUAGAAGGGAGACGUUGGAGUCGAAGAUGAAGGAAAUGGAGAGAGUAAGGAAUGAGAUUGUCUCCGAGAACGAAACAUUGGUAAAACAAAAUGCCGAGUUGAACUCCAAAGUAAAUAUGGUGUUGAAUGAUAAGAUGAAUUUACUAUCGGAAAAAGAGGAAAGAGAAUCUGAGAAAGAUGUGAUCAUGAAAGAAAAGAAUGAAUUAUUGUCCGAGAAAGAGGCUUUACAGGUAGAAAAACAGGAAUUGUUAGCAGAAAAGGAGAUAAUCUUUAAUGAUAAACAGAAAGUGCUUUCAGAAAAUACUCGGCUACAGUCGGAGAAUGAAAGUAUUUUGAAAGAAAAAGAAAUCAUGCUCUCAGAGAGAGAGUUACUAUCAACAGGAAAAGAGGAGCUUCUCAAAACUGUUGAGGAUAUGACAUUACAGAAAGAAUUGAUGAUCUCUGAACAAGAAAAGCUUCAAGCUGAUAUUGUAAGCUUGGGUGAAGAAAAAGAUCAGAUCUUGUUAAAUAUGCAGGAAUUUAAAAUCAAAGUUGAACAGAAUGAAAUAGUUAUUGAUGAACUAAAUAAAACAAUUGCAAAUCUAACUUCUUCAAAGGAAAGUCUUAUGUCAGAAAAAGAUCAGUUAAUUAAAAUUAAGGAACAGCAGCAGCAAGAAAGGGAGAAACUUGAAACAGAGAUAUCCACACUACAUGGUCAAAUUACAAAUAUUUCCUCACAUAAAGAGAAUCUGUCAUCUCAAGUUACGCAGCUUCUUGCCAAUAAAGAGGACAUGACCUCAGAAAUUGAACAUUUGAAGUCUAACUCAAAGGACUUGCUUUCAGAAAAAGAUGAACUUAACAAGGAUUUAAAAGAGAUACGAACACACUGCAAAUUAGUUGAAGAUGAGAAUGAGUCUCAGAGAACAACUUUAGAGACUCAUAAGAUUGAGAUUAAAAACUUGCAAAAUACCUUAGAAGAUUUUAAGCAGCAGCAGCAGUCACACGAAACGGUGGUAGACACACUGAGAACAAAUUUGAAUACGAAGGCAGAAGAAACUACGCAAAUGAUCCAAGAGCUCAAAAAGGUGAAGGAAGAGCUUCAGGUCACACGAGGGGAGCUGAAAGUUACCCACACAAACCUUGCCAACAAAUUGAAUGAGACAACCAACCUAAUGGUGGAGAAGGCUUCCCUGGAAGUGGAACUGGCAAGUGUGAAAGACAAGCUGUCAUCAGCAGCAGACACACACAAAUCUCUUGCUGCAAAGGAAGCAAAGAUUGAACAGCUGCGGAAAGUACAGUUGGAAAUCCGCACCGAUUAUGACGCACUUCGAGCCAAAUUCACCCUUAAUGAGAAGAGUAGUAGAAAGAAAGAUAAAGAAUUAAAUGCAUGCAGGAUCCAUAUUACUAAUAUAGAAGAUGAAGAAAAGCAGUUAAAGGAAAAGGUGGAACACUGGCAGAGAAGAUUUAAUGAAAAGAACACGGAAGCAGAAGAACAAGCAUGUCAGAAUAUGGAGGUUAUGAAAAAGAUGCACGAUCUCCAAGAAGCAAAUGACAAUUUGAAAUCUAAGAUACUGCUCCUUCAAGCUCAAAUAAAGAAGUUGAAAUCUAAUAGCGACAGUAAAGAAGCACCUCCACAUGAGCCAAGUAGGCCGAAAAAAAGUCCAAGAGUGGCAUCUUGUAUAACAGUUUUACAUGCAAGUGAUCUUAGGAAAGAGAGUACAGACACUCAACCUUCUCAAAGAUCGGAUAGCCAAGAAAUUAUCGGCAAUUCACAACCUCAAGUGGACGUCAAUUCUUCAGUAUCUCAAAUGACUCGGCGUGCAGUGACGCGUCGGGCGUCGAUGCUGUCUCUCUCUCCUGGCUCUAGCUCCGUAACCUUAACAAACAAAGCCCUUAAAAACAGCCCUCCAGAAAGAAGUAUCACUAGAUCGCGCAGAUCCGCAGGUGCCAACUUGGAGGAGAAAGCCGUUCCGAAAGGAUCUCAAGUGAAUAAAAUGCAAACGAGGCGUUCCUACUCCCACAGCUCAAUUGGCACAACUUCCCUUGGAGAUGAUACCAUGAAGCAUUCCAUGAAAAGAGUCUUAUCAUCCACAUCUACAUCAAAAGACAAGAAGAAGCGUCGAUCGGGUACCACUGUUGUGCCCGAGUCACCAAGUUUUGUGGAAACACUCUCAACAAAAUUUAAGCAAGGCCUGAACUAUUUACCCUCUGAGGACGUAGAGAGUACUGGGGUUGUGCAUCGGUCAAACACCUUGUCCAAGAGGGCUGCUUCAAGGGAAAAGUUACAGACCUUGCUGUAACUGUGGAAAUAUGGUAAUGGGUAUGGAGUGAUAUUGUAAGUGUUGCAGCCACUAGAUCUUAUACUCUUGGCAGACAUUGAAUUUAUAUGGACAAUUAAAUAGAAUUACAGGAUGGCGGACCUCUCAAGUCAUUAAACCCCAACAGUCCUAUCCGAGCCAGCAGUAGACGUUCUCAAAGUGUGAGGUCGUCAAGCAUCACCACUCGCUCCAGGGCUUCGUGCUCUACUGCUCGUGGAGAGG
rnacentral:misc_RNA from 1 species